CUUUUCCACAUCAUCAGAAGAAGGAGGGGCAUCUAUUAUGUCAACAGUUACUUUGGGACCGGGCGAAAAUUACGGUAAAUAAGCCUAUUUCAAAAACAGUUACUUUUGCCCUACAGUUUGUAGUUAAAUAUCGCAGUGGUUUAUUGUUUUUCUUUUUAGGAGUGGUUGGUAGGCUAUAGAAUUGUGCAGCUUAUGCUCUAUCCACGACAAUUGUCCCGUUAUCUAAUGAUCCGGGCUUCCAAAGUUUUUACAGAUUGAAUUUCGAACUUCUAGAUCAGCGCCAAAUCAACCACCAUAAAGCUGAGAUUCUUUAGGCUGGACCAGAUGCAGACGAGGGGCAUGCCUUUGCCGAGCUAGUGCCGCAGUCUGUGAUGACUCCAUCUGUGGUGUCUGGCUCCUCCGUGGGCAGCAGAUGGCUUGAAGGACCAGUGGCUGGAGGAUCGGCUAGCAAGCGAUGGCAGACAGAAACACCAUCAAAGCGAGGGAUGGCAUGGCACUGCAGAGGACCCGACACCAAAGCCCUGGUCUAUUGACCAAUCCUAUCUAACACGAUGACCAGCUCAAUCCAUUAUUGAGAUGAGUAGCUCAGCUAAUAAAAGUCAAAACACUAUUAACAAUUAAUCCAGUUCAUAGCAGUGAAAAUGUUUACAUUAUUUGUCAUAAAUAGAUUGUUUUUGAUCAGUUCUGGCACGUACAAUAUUAGUCAUGAUUAUGGAAGUGCCAAAAGGUUAGUGCCAUCAGGAAUAUGUAUGACCCUUGGAUUUGCUGCCAGGUUUAUAAUACACUGAUUGUCACGUUCUGACCUUUAUUUUCCUUUGUUUUUGUCUUUAGUUAGUAUGGUCAGGGUGUGAGUUGGGGUGGGCA